rnacentral:rRNA from 1 species
CGCGGUAAUUCCAGCUCCAAUAGCGUAUAUUAAAGUUGUUGCAGUUAAAAAGCUCGUAGUCGAAUUUCUGGUGGGAGAAUGUGGUCCAACACAGUUGGCACUGGCAGUCUCCGGCCAUCCUUGGGUUUAGCCAUUCUGGCAUUAGGUUGUCGGGGUGGGGAUGCCCAUCGUUUACUGUGAAAAAAUUAGAGUGUUCAAAGCAGACUUAUGUCGUUGAAUAUAUUAGCAUGGAAUAAUAAGAUAGGACUACAGUGCUAUUUUGUUGGUUUGCGCACCGUGGUAAUGAUGAAUAGGGACAGUUGUGGGUAUUCGUAUUCAAUUGUAAGAGGUGAAAUUCUUAGAUUAAGGGAAGACGAACUACUGCGAAAGCAUUUACCAAGGAUGUCUUCAUUGAUCAAGAACGAAAGUGUGGGGAUCGAAGAUGAUUAGAUACCGUCGUAGUCUACACCAUAAACUAUGCCGACUCAGGAUGGGCGGGUGUCUCUUGACCUCGUCUGCACUGUAUGUGAAAACAAAGUCUUUGGGUUCCGGGGGGAGUAUGGUCGCAAGGCUGAAACUUAAAGAAAUUGACGG